GACGAACGCUGGCGGCGUGCUUAACACAUGCAAGUCGAACGGUAAGGCUCCAGCUUGCUGGGGUACACGAGUGGCGAACGGGUGAGUAACACGUGGGUGACCUGCCCUGCACUUCGGGAUAAGCCUGGGAAACUGGGUCUAAUACCGGAUAGGACCGCACCGUGAGGGUGUGGUGGAAAGUUUUUUCGGUGUGGGAUGGGCCCGCGGCCUAUCAGCUUGUUGGUGGGGUAAUGGCCUACCAAGGCGGCGACGGGUAGCCGGCCUGAGAGGGUGGACGGCCACAUUGGGACUGAGACACGGCCCAGACUCCUACGGGAGGCAGCAGUGGGGAAUAUUGCACAAUGGGCGGAAGCCUGAUGCAGCGACGCCGCGUGGGGGAUGACGGCCUUCGGGUUGUAAACUCCUUUCACCAUCGACGAAGGGUUUCUGACGGUAGAUGGAGAAGAAGCACCGGCUAACUACGUGCCAGCAGCCGCGGUAAUACGUAGGGUGCGAGCGUUGUCCGGAAUUACUGGGCGUAAAGAGCUCGUAGGUGGUUUGUCGCGUCGUCUGUGAAAUUCCGGGGCUUAACUCCGGGCGUGCAGGCGAUACGGGCAUAACUUGAGUACUGUAGGGGAGACUGGAAUUCCUGGUGUAGCGGUGAAAUGCGCAGAUAUCAGGAGGAACACCCGGUGGCGAAGGCGGGUCUCUUGGGCAGUAACUGGACGCUGAGGAGCGAAAGCAUGGGGGAGCGAACAGG
rnacentral:rRNA from 1 species